GAUGAACGCUGGCGGCGUGCCUAAUACAUGCAAGUCGAGCGAACGGACGAGAAGCUUGCUUCUCUGAUGUUAGCGGCGGACGGGUGAGUAACACGUGGAUAACCUACCUAUAAGACUGGGAUAACUUCGGGAAACCGGAGCUAAUACCGGAUAAUAUUUUGAACCGCAUGGUUCAAAAGUGAAAGACGGUCUUGCUGUCACUUAUAGAUGGAUCCGCGGUGCAUUAGCUAGUUGGUAAGGUAACGGCUUACCAAGGCGACGAUGCAUAGCCGGCCUGAGAGGGUGACCGGCCACACUGGGACUGAGACACGGCCCAGACUCCUACGGGAGGCAGCAGUGGGGAAUAUUGCACAAUGGGCGCAAGCCUGAUGCAGCGACGCCGCGUGAGGGAUGACGGCCUUCGGGUUGUAAACCUCUUUCAGUAGGGAAGAAGCGAAAGUGACGGUACCUGCAGAAGAAGCACCGGCUAACUACGUG
rnacentral:rRNA from 1 species